GCCGAAGUGGUGGAACUGGCAGACACGCGGGUUUUAGGUACCCGUGCCUUCGGGCGUGGGGGUUCAAGUCCCCCCUUCGGCA
rnacentral:tRNA from 1 species